rnacentral:rRNA from 1 species
UACGUAGGGUGCAAGCGUUGUCCGGAAUUAUUGGGCGUAAAGAGCUCGUAGGCGGUUUGUCGCGUUUGCUGUGAAAACUCGGGGCUUAACCCUGGGCCUGCAGUGGGUACGGGCAGACUAGAGUGCGGUAGGGGAGACUGGAAUUCCUGGUGUAGCGGUGAAAUGCGCAGAUAUCAGGAGGAACACCGGUGGCGAAGGCGGGUCUCUGGGCCGUAACUGACGCUGAGGAGCGAAAGCGUGGGGAGCGAACAGG